rnacentral:rRNA from 1 species
AUUGAACGCUGGCGGCAGGCCUAACACAUGCAAGUCGAGCGGAUGAAGGGAGCUUGCUCCUGGAUUCAGCUGCGGACGGGUGAGUAAUGCCUAGGAAUCUGCCUUGUAGUGGGGGAUAACGUCCGGAAACGGGCGCUAAUACCGCAUACGUCCUGAGGGAGAAAGUGGUGGAUCUUCGGACCUCACGCUAUCAGAUGAGCCUAGGUCGGAUUAGCUAGUUGGUUGGGUAAAGGCCUACCAAGGCGACGAUCCGUAACUGGUCUGAGAGGAUGAUCAGUCACACUGGAACUGAGACACGGUCCAGACUCCUACGGGAGGCAGCAGUGGGGAAUAUUGGACAAUGGGCGAAAGCCUAAUCCAGCCAUGCCGCGUGUGUGAAGAAGGUCUUCGGAUUGUAAAGCACUUUAAGUUGGGAGGAAGGGAAGUAAGUUAAUCCCUUGCUGUUUUGACGUUACCAACAGAAUAAGCACCGGCUAACUUCGUG